CAGCCGCCACGGUAAUACGAAGGGUGCAAGCGUUAAUCGGAAUUACUGGGCGUAAAGCGUGCGUAGGCGGUGAGUUAAGUCUGCUGUGAAAUCCCCGGGCUCAACCUGGGAACUGCAUUUGUGACUGGCAAGCUAGGGUGUGGCAGAGGGGGGUGGAAUUCCGCAUGUAGCAGUGAAAUGCGUAGAUACGCGGAGGAACACCGAUGGCGAAGGCAGCCCCCUGGGCCAACACUGACGCUCAUGCACGAAAGCGUGGGGAGCAAACAGGAUUAGAGACCCCUGUAGUCCCUGUCUCUUAUAC
rnacentral:rRNA from 1 species